ensembl:lncRNA
GACACAUUCACAAAAUAUUUCAAGGGGUGAGCUACCUCUGCAGAUGGUUCAUCACAUCUCUUCUGUCUUGAUUUUUCACUGCUUUAGUCUGAGGGCUGUGUUUCCCUGAGCCUCUUUUCUGGACUCAAUAACAUGAUUUAAUAGCUGAAAUUGUUAAUUUCUCUUCUGGAGAAAUAUCCCUUGGUGCCAGUUCAGGGCCUCACUGUUGAUUCAUCCUGCAAUUGUGCAUAUUCAGAAGCUCUUCCUUCUAAGGCUCAUGCUCUUCUCUGACAUUCAGAGCAUUUGCAAGAUUACUUUGUAGAAACUUAGUGGUUAGUGCUUAGCUUUCCUUUUCUAGUUAACAGCAGGUUGGUUAGUUUUCUACCCUCUGUCUUUAGUCCCUAGCCUAGGGACAAUGCUGUGCUCAUUUAGCCUUAGUCUUUCUGUGUUUGUUUUUUUUUUAUUCCAACAGCCUAUUUAUAAAGUUCCUCUCUGUGCUUUGAUUUCUCUUCUCUUGGAGGGAACAAAGGCUACAUAUUUCCUUGCUGCUGCUGCUAAGUCAUUUCAGUCGUGUCCAACUCUGUGCAACCCCUUGGUCGGCAGCCCACCAGGCUCCUCCGUCCCUGGGAUUCUCCAGGCAAGAUUACUGGAGUGGGUUGCCAUUUCCCUCUCCAAUGCAUGCAUGCAUGCUAAGUCUCUUCAGUUGUGUCCGACUCUGUGCGACCUCAUAGACGGCAGCCCACCAGGCUCCCCUGUCCAUAGGAUUCUCUAGGCAAGAACAGUGGAGUGGGUUGCCGUUUCCUUCAGGGCUUUUCAAAUAAUGUAGCUUGGCUCAGGUGUUGAAUGAGCUCCUAAAAGGAGGUUUAACCCAGUACUCUUUCCUUGGAGACCUUCAGCGGCUAUGAGUCUCACAGUGCACUGGACCUGGCAUGAUUUUACUGUCCCCUGGCUGGAUAGAGCUGCCACACUCCACCUGGCAACUCCUUUUAAAUUUGGAUUGAGUUUUGUGAGCCCUGAAGGCUAUUUUGGAUCCAACUGUAAGCUCCUGCCAGGACGGGGGUCUCUCUGCUUCCUUUGUAGUUUGCUCACACACCUCGGCUGUUACAUAUAGACUAUAGUUUACAUUUGUAACUCUACUAUUAACUGCCGCUACCACUUGUAUUGGCCAAAGCCAAAGAACUGAAAUAUUAAGAAGUGAAUCUUGGGAUUUCCCUGGCAGUCUGGUGGUUAAGACUCCGAGCUUCCACUGCAGGGGGCACGAGUUUGAUCCCUGAUUGGCGAACUAAAAUCCUACCUGCUGAGCACAGUGGCCAAAUAAAAAGAAAAAGAAAAAAAAAGAGGUGAGUUUUGUGAAUGCUCUUCUCUUUACCAAGACUGCUCACUUGGCAUGGAGUCUUUGAUAAGGUUCCACUUUGAGUGCUGUGUUCUUGGCAUCAUCAGGGCCACACACACGUAGCCAUCAAUAGAUCUUUAGCUCCUCCUAGAUUCGGAGUACUUAUUUCCUGCAGCUGUGUGGUCUCUUUGCUUCUCUUUCCUGCCACACCUGUUUUGAUACAAUCAACCACUUGCUCUAGGAUCUAGGUGUGAUCCCUGACCUGGCUUUGCUCUCUGAAGCAGUUUUAGAAAGAAUCCUCCAGGCAACUUCGUGCAAUAGCAACCACUAAUCCCAAGAGGAAACAGAGGACACAGGAGAAAACGGAGAUUUGCAGAGCACACAUGGAGACAACAGAAAGCCUCAUCGCUUAUUUUGUGCAACAAUCCUCUGAUGUCCUGACCACCGUUGACAGGACCAGACGUGGGGAGGACCUAGGUUGGACCAGAGUCCCCUCCCCAGGGAGUCUAGCCUAACUUCUGGAUACUGUCUUAAAUGGAGACAAUGAAAGCAUGAGACCUAGAUCUGCCAUUUUGCACCGUGUAGCCUGGUCUUCGAAGAAAGUGCCUCUUUAAUGAGAGAAAAAAAAAUAGAGUACAAUCACAGCAAGGGACAGAGAUAAAAAAAGACCUCAGGCUUUCCAGUCCUGCUGCUAGUCCCUGUCGGCUGAGGCUAUAUGUCCCCGCCCAGAAUUUUAAUAACAAUUCAUCCCUUUUCACACUGGCUAAAUCCCUGAUAAGGCUCCUGCUGCUCUUUUAUUAUUAUUAAUUAUUUGUAUUGAAGUAUACACUUUGCUGUACAGUAAAGUGUAUCAGUUAUACGUAUACAUAUAUCUACUCUUGUAUUUUAAAAAGAUUUAUUUAUUGAUUUAUUUUUUGACUGCGGUGGGUCUUCGUUGCUGCAUGCGGGCUUUCUCUACCUGUGGCAGAAAAGCGGAGACUACUCACUAGCUGCAGCACACGAGCUUCUCAUUGCGGUGGCUUCUCUUAUUGUGGAGCAUGGGCCCUAGAGAGCUGGCUCAGCAGUUGUGGUGCAUGGGCUUAGUUGCUCCGCUGCAUGUGGGAUCCUCCCAGACCAGGGAUUGCAUUGGUGUCCCUUGCAUGGCAAGGUGAAUUCUUAACCAGUGGACCACCAUGGAAGCCCAUGUCCACUCUUCUUUAGAUUUCCCUCCCAUUUAGGUCACCACAGAGCGUUGAACAGAGUUCCCUAUGUUAUACAGCCCCUGCUGCUCUGACUCAAGAGAGAGAACCUAGAUUCUACCUUGUUCUGCAAUAUCCCAGCACACAGAGAGUGAAGGGAAAUGAGUAUCCUAAUUCCUAACUCUGAAGGUGGACUGGGGAAGAGGAGAAGGAAUGGAAGGAAGAAUUCAACAUCAGUUGAGCACUUAUUAAUCAAAUGAAAAUAAUUUAUGUGACUCAUUUGGAUAUUUCCUGGCUAUAGCAAAGAAUACUUUAAACAAACAACCAAACAAAUAAAACGCUGAGCCAGGAAUGAAUGAGAGCUCUGAGCGUCACAAUGUUUAGCUUAUAUACCACACCCUCUUUUUCCUUUAUUUAUUUUUUUCCAUUUGCCUUUCCUGCUCACAAGGUUUUACACUGGACUCAGAUGGGAGAAGGCAAUGGCACCCCACUCCAGUACUGUUGCCUGGAAAAUCCCAUGGAUGGAGGAGCCUGUUGGGCUACAAUCCAUGGGGUCGCUAAGAGUCAGACGAAACAGAGCGACUUCACUUUCACUUUCCACUUUCAUAUAUUGGAGAAGGAAAUGGCAACCCACUCCAGUGUUCUUGCCUGGAGAAUACCAGGGACGGAGAAGCCUGAUAGGCUGCAGUCCAUGGGGUCGCACAGAGUCAGAUACAACUGAAGCAACUUAGCAGCAGCAGCAGAUGGUAAAGAAUCUGCCUCCAGUGAAGGAGACCUGGGUUUGGUCCCUGAGUCAGGAAGAUCCCCUGAAGAAGGAAAUGACACCCACUUCCAGUAUUCUUGCCUGGGAAAUCCCAUGGACAGUGCAGCCUGUCCAUGGUGGGCUACAGUCCAUGGGGUUGCAGACAAUCCAACAAGUUUGAGUGACUAAAACUUCCCUUUUCACUUCACUGGGCUCCCAUAAUAAUUAACUCUUGAUCAUAACUUCCUGUAAUACACUAGAGUAAUAUUACUUACUAUAUCUUAUUCAUAUUUGAAUUUCCUUUGAGCACAGAGUAGUUACUUAAAUAUUUGGAAUGAAUGCACAAAGGAAUGAUUAAGUAAAAUGAUAGAAAUUUGGUUAGGAACGUUCUCUGAUAUUAAGUGUUUGAAAGGCUUAUUGAAAAUGUACUGACUUUGAUGAUGAUAAUGAUUUCUCUUGAAGCUAAGCAUUGGCUCCCAUCUGCUUCCAAAGCCAGUGACUUUUAGUUAUGUUUAACUUUUCCUCUCUAAAGGUCAACACAGCUGGAAUUUUAUAUUUUGAAUGAGUCUCUUCCAAUGCUUGUUCUUCAAAAAUACUUUUUCAUAAAUAGUUUGUUCCAGUUGCCAACUGAUUUGUUAAGCGGGUCACUAACCAUCCAAAUCUGAGAAUAUAAGCUUUACUGACUUUGAAACCCAUCAGACAGAACGUUUUUAAAUAUUAGAGGUGGCUGCUGCCAUUGUCCCUGUUUCAAAGCUCUUUAAGACUAAGAUCUCCAAAGCAGAUCUCUUCAAUAAGAAGGUUGAUUUGGAGCCACACUGCAACCUAACUCCACCAGCAAAGUGCACUUCUCACCAAAGACAGAAUGGGGCUUCUUUGUUGUUUUGGAAAAAGGCUUGACUAUCAAGGGAAAUGAGUGAGAAAGUUUUCAUGUUUUCUAUAUAUUCUGUAAAGCACUAUAUACAAACCGGAUUGUAUAGACCAUUUCCCAGGGGAGACAGGCAGUAAAACAAUGAAUUUCAAUGCCUGUCUUCUAGUCUUAACUCCUGCCCAAAUUCUGACACUUACUAGUUGCAUGAUUUUUGAAAAGAAACAAAACGUUUCUGUGCCUUAAUUUCUGUCUCUGUAGAAUAGGAUAAAAGUACUUGCAUUAACAGGUUAUUUUAAGAAUUAAGAGAAUACAUGUAAAACGUCUGCUGUAAUUCCUCGCUUAUAGGGUGGGAGUUCACAUUGAUGAUGAUGAUGGAAGACUUGAUCCAUUGUUUAUACCAUUUUUUUUUUCUAUAUGACAUUGUAUAGGAUAUUUGAUCUCUGUGUCUUAUUAGUCUUUCCUUCUGUAAGAUGGAGAAAAUAGUAGCCUUGUAUUCAAUUACUUGGCCAUAUCAUUAGCAAACAAGGAUUUAAAAAUAGAGGUAACUUGGUACAGUGUGAAAAGGCCUGGGCCCUGGAAGAACUGGAUACAAAUUGUGGUUCUACUAGUUACUAGCUAUGUGGAACUGGACAACUUCCCCAUCUCAUCUUUCCAUAUUUAUAAAAAAUGUCCAUAUUUAUAAAAUGGAAAUAAUAUACAUCUACAGAGAUAGGAUUCAAAUUAAGUAGUGCACAGGAAAGUGAGCUAAAUUGCUAUGCAUGUGUUUGCAGUUAUCAUUACCAAUACCAUACAAGAUUGAUUAUAUUGUCCUUAUUGUUGUUUUGAUAACAGUGUAUUCAGAUUUAAGUUCUCACCCUCUUGGUUGUCUUGCCCAUUGAUAACAUUUUAGCAGUGAUUUACCUCCUGUUCAUAGGUUUUACCCAAUUUUAUUGAUCUCUGAGAAGUAAUGCUUGCUCUCUACGAUAGGUAAGAAUCCUGGAUGCAACAUUCAAACAUAGGCUACACUUUCUAAAAUAUGGUCUGGUGUCUUAAGUGAUACAGUAAAAACAACCUACUGAAAAGCAGCAGUUUGCUAAGAAUAAAGCUUAUUUUCGUGUUUGGUAGGUCACUGCACUUUCUCCUCAGGUAGAUGUAUUCUAAGG